AUUGAACGCUGGCGGCAUGCUUUACACAUGCAAGUCGAACGGCAGCACGGGUGCUUGCACCUGGUGGCGAGUGGCGAACGGGUGAGUAAUACAUCGGAACGUGCCCAGUCGUGGGGGAUAACGUAGCGAAAGCUACGCUAAUACCGCAUACGAUCUACGGAUGAAAGCGGGGGACUCGCAAGAGCCUCGCGCGAUUGGAGCGGCCGAUGGCAGAUUAGGUAGUUGGUGGGGUAAAGGCGUCACCAAGCCUGCGAUCUGUAGCUGGUCUGAGAGGACGACCAGCCACACUGGAACUGAGACACGGUCCAGACUCCUACGGGAGGCAGCAGUGGGGAAUUUUGGACAAUGGGCGCAAGCCUGAUCCAGCCAUUCCGCGUGCAGGAUGAAGGCC
rnacentral:rRNA from 1 species